GUGGGGAAUAUUGGACAAUGGGCGCAAGCCUGAUCCAGCCAUGCCGCGUGAGUGAUGAAGGCCUUAGGGUUGUAAAGCUCUUUCAGUAGGGAAGAUAAUGACGGUACCUACAGAAGAAGCCCCGGCUAACUUCGUGCCAGCAGCCGCGGUAAUACGAAGGGGGCUAGCGUUGUUCGGAUUUACUGGGCGUAAAGCGCACGUAGGCGGAUUGGUCAGUUAGAGGUGAAAUCCUGGAGCUCAACUCCAGAACUGCCUUUAAUACUGCCAGUCUAGAGUCCAGAAGAGGUGAGUGGAACUCCUAGUGUAGAGGUGGAAUUCGUAGAUAUUAGGAAGAACACCAGUGGCGAAGGCGGCUCACUGGUCUGGUACUGACGCUGAGGUGCGAAAGCGUGGGGAGCAAACAGGAUUAGAAACCCGUGUAGUCC
rnacentral:rRNA from 1 species